rnacentral:rRNA from 1 species
CGUAGGUGGCGAGCGUUGUCCGGAUUUACUGGGCGUAAAGAGCGCGCAGGCGGUCGUGCAAGUCGCGUGUGAAAGCCCCCGGCUCAACUGGGGAGGGUCACGCGAUACUGCUCGACUCGAAGGCAGGAGAGGGAAGUGGAAUUCCCGGUGUAGUGGUGAAAUGCGUAGUUAUCGGGAGGAACACCAGUGGCGAAGGCGACUUCCUGGCCUGUUCUUGACGCUGAGGCGCGAAAGCUAGGGUAGCAAACGGGAUUAGAUACCCCGGUAGUCCUAGCCGUAAACGAUGGACACUAGGUGUUGGUGGUAUCAACCCCGCCAGUGCCGAAGCUAACGCAUUAAGUGUCCCGCCUGGGGAGUACGGCCGCAAGGCUA